rnacentral:rRNA from 1 species
AUUGAACGCUGGCGGCAGGCCUAACACAUGCAAGUCGAGCGAGCGGCGGACGGGUGAGUAAUGUCUGGGUAACUGCCUGAUGGAGGGGGAUAACUACUGGAAACGGUAGCUCAUACCGCAUACCACCAGAUGUGUCCAGAGGGGAUUAGCUAGUAGGUGGGGUAACGGCUCACCUAGGCGACGAUCCCUAGCUGGUCUGAGAGGAUGACCCGCCAAACGGGAACUGAGACACGGUCCAGAAUCCUACGGGAGGCAGCAGUGGGGAAUAUGGCACAAUGGGCGCAAGCCUGAGGCAGACAUGCCGCGUGUGUGAAGAAGGCAGGCGGGUUGUAAAGCACUGUCAGCGGGGAGGCGUUACCCGAAGAAGAAGCACCGGCUAACUCCGUGCCAGCAGCCGCGGUAAUAC